AUCCUUUUGUAGUUCAUAAGUGUGAUGAUUGAGUGUUCAUGCUUUUGCUUGGGAUGUGCCUCCCACAAACCUUGUUACGACAUCGGCACAUAACCCGUCUGACG
ensembl:snoRNA